rnacentral:rRNA from 1 species
AUGAACAUAGCUCUCCUGACCCGAUGGCUCUGGCGAAUCGCCAAUGGGGAGGGGGGACUCUGGCUCACCAUCAUCCGCAAUAAGUACCUUCGGGGCCAACCCCUAGUUUUCUGCCAGCGUUCUGGUGGCUCCCAGUUCUGGCAGGCUAUGAUUCAGCUUCUCCCAGUGCUCCGCAUUGGCACGUCCAUCUCGGUUGGCUCCGGGUCAGCGACCCUGUUCUGGUUCGAUCGUUGGGUGGGGGACUCCCCCCUGGCCGCUCGAUUCCCGUAACUGUUCUCCAUAGCGGUUGACCCUCGGGUCUCUGUCGAGACGACCCUUAUUGACUUAGGGCGUCUCGCUUUUCAGCGCCCCUUCAGCCCCCUUGAGGUUGCCGCUUGGGAUGCCCUCCUGCAGGACAUCGCCCUUCUGCCGAUGGACGUCGAGGGCGCCCCUGACUCCAUCUCUUGGCGACUGGAAUCCUCUUGACGUUUCUCUACUAAGUCCCUAUACGCGGCUAUCGCUCCUUUGUCGGCCCCAGAGCCCUUUAGCCUGAUCUGGGACAUUCGCCUCCCGAUAAAGAUCAGGAUCUUCCUGUGGCAGUGGAUCCGUGGACGCCUUCCCUCUGGGGUUGAGGUCCUCAAGCAUAAUGGACCAGUGGAUGGGAUUUGCCCCCUAUGUGGCACAUUGGAGGAUGCUAACCACAUCUUCUUCUCCUGCUUCACAGCCCAAUUCCUGUGGUCCUGGUUUCACGAGACGGUCGGUGGACAGUGGUGCAACACCAAAUUCCCGGACCUGCUUGCCAAGAUCCAUGCCUCCCCCCUCGCCACCUCCAUAUUAGAUGGUUGUGCGUUGGGGUCCUCGCCUGGACGAUUUGGACCAUCCGCAACAAGCUUGUCAUUCAGAAAGUGCCUCUUCGACGUGCGACUGGUGCGAUCUUUAAAAUGUGUGGUUAUUUGCAGCUUUGGCGGCCGCUUAGCCGCCCCCAGGACUGGGACGCCAUCAACACCCUCCUCGCCGAUCUUCGCUCGAUGGCCUUCCGCGUGGCGCCUCCGCUGCCGCCCCCUCCUCCGGAGCCCAACUAGGCCUGUUACUCGGGUUGUUGUGUGUGAGUUUGUGUGUUGGAUUUCAAGGCUUGUUGAGUUGUGCCCUCAGCAGUAA